rnacentral:rRNA from 1 species
AUUGAACGCUGGCGGCAUGCCUUACACAUGCAAGUCGAACGGCAGCACGGGUGCUUGCACCUGGUGGCGAGUGGCGAACGGGUGAGUAAUACAUCGGAACAUGUCCUGUAGUGGGGGAUAGCCCGGCGAAAGCCGGAUUAAUACCGCAUACAAUCUACGGAUGAAAGCGGGGGACCUUCGGGCCUCGCGCUAUAGGGUUGGCCGAUGGCUGAUUAGCUAGUUGGUGGGGUAAAGGCCUACCAAGGCGACGAUCAGUAGCUGGUCUGAGAGGACGACCAGCCACACUGGGACUGGGACACGGCCCAGACUCCUACGGGAGGCAGCAGUGGGGAAUUUUGGACAAUGGGCGAAAGCCUGAUCCAGCAAUGCCGCGUGUGUGAAGAAGGCCUUCGGGUUGUAAAGCACUUUUGUCCGGAAAGAAAUCCUUGGCCCUAAUACGGUCGGGGGAUGACGGUACCGGAAGAAUAAGCACCGGCUAACUACGUG